UGGGGAAUUUUGGACAAUGGGCGCAAGCCUGAUCCAGCCAUGCCGCGUGCAGGAUGAAGGCCCUCGGGUUGUAAACUGCUUUUGUACGGAACGAAAAGCCUCUUUCUAAUAAAGGGGGGUGAUGACGGUACCGUAAGAAUAAGCACCGGCUAACUACGUGCCAGCAGCCGCGGUAAUACGUAGGGUGCGAGCGUUAAUCGGAAUUACUGGGCGUAAAGCGUGCGCAGGCGGUCUUGCAAGACAGUGGUGAAAUCCCCGGGCUCAACCUGGGAACUGCCAUUGUGACUGCAAGGCUGGAGUACGGCAGAGGGGGGUGGAAUUCCACGUGUAGCAGUGAAAUGCGUAGAGAUGUGGAGGAACACCGAUGGCGAAGGCAGCCCCCUGGGCCUGUACUGACGCUCAUGCACGAAAGCGUGGGGAGCAAACA
rnacentral:rRNA from 1 species